rnacentral:rRNA from 1 species
ACUUAAAGGAAUUGGCGGGGGAGCACAACAACGGGUGGAGCCUGCGGUUUAAUUGGACUCAACGCCGGACAUCUCACCGGGGACGACAGCAAAAUGUAGGCCAGGCUGAAGACCUUGCUUGAAUAGCUGAGAGGAGGUGCAUGGCCGUCGCCAGUUCGUACUGUGAAGCAUCCUGUUAAGUCAGGCAACGAGCGAGACCCGUGCCCACUGUUACCAGCAUAUCCUCCGGGAUGAUGGGUACUCUGUGGGGACCGCCGGUGUUAAAUCGGAGGAAGGUGCGGGCUACGGUAGGUCAGUAUGCCCCGAAUUUCCCCGGGCUACACGCGGGCUACAAUGAAUGGGACAAUGGAUCCCUCCCCUGAAAAGGGCUGGUAAUCUCACAAACCCAUCCUUAGUUCGG